UCAGGACGAACGCUGGCGGCGUGCCUAAUACAUGCAAGUCGAACGGUCUUUCUAUGGAAGCUUGCUUCCACUGAGAAGAUAGUGGCGAACGGGUGAGUAACACGUGGGUAACCUGCCCAUAAGAGGGGGGAUAACAUCCGGAAACGGGUGCUAAUACCGCAUAGUUUUCUUGAUCGCAUGAUCGGGAAAGGAAAGACGGCCUUUGUGCUGUCGCUUAUGGAUGGACCCGCGGCGUAUUAGUUAGUUGGUGAGGUAACGGCUCACCAAGACGAUGAUACGUAGCCGACCUGAGAGGGUGAUCGACCACAUUGGGACUGAGACACGGCCCAAACUCCUACGGGAGGCAGCAGUAGGGAAUCUUCCGCAAUGGACGAAAGUCUGACGGAGCAACGCCGCGUGAGUGAAGAAAAGGUUUUCGGAUCGUAAAACUCUGUUGUCAGAGAAGAACAAGUUGGAGAGUAACUGCUCCAGCCUUGACGGUAUCUGACCAGAAAGCCACGGCUAACUACGUGCCAGCCGCCGC
rnacentral:rRNA from 1 species